UCAGUGGACAUGGCCGAGGCCCGCGGUGUCCGCGUGUGGGAGCUGCAGGGCUGAGGAGAGGCCGCCCGCAACCCUCGGGAAUCGUGUGAGGUGCCACUGGGGUCGCUUCACAUCAGGAGGCCCGGUCCCGGGGGACGCGCGCAGUCCCUUUAUAGGCACAACUGCUUAAAGAAACCAGAUGGCCCCAGGAUGGUGCCAGAGCUUCCUGACCCUUUAUCAGAUACCAGAGGAAGAUAAGACUGCAGAGCGGAACAGGAUAGGCAACCCCUGGUUGGCUUCAGAUCAUUAUCAUGUCGUUAUAAUGCUAAAAUUCCUUCUCCUAAAAGAAAGUCUCCACCAUUUUGUGUACAUGUGAUGUAUGAAGAUAUAUGUUUAUGAAUUGUGCGUGCACAUUUAGAGUCUCACUUUGCACAUGCUAACAUUCUUCUCCUGUCCCACACCUAGUCCUAAAAACUCCAUGCCUUCUAGUGUUUGGGGAGAAGGGGCAUUUAGAGUUAAGAGCCCCUUCCCUGGCCAGCGACUAAAACCUGGUUACCGUUUACAGUUGAAUGUCCUCUGCGUAAAUUGAUAAAAAGUGGGGAAAGAGCUGAGUUUACCAGUGACGACUGGAAGACCCUCUCUUUGAGAUUUGUACCAAACCAGGUCUCAGUCUGCCUGUACCUGCUCUGUCAUUGCUUUCACUGUGUUGACCUGCUUGCUGCUUUACCCUUUGUGUCUGGCCCUCUCUUAUACUUAGCCUUCUUUCCUCCUGUCCAUCUCCACCCUCUUUCACAUACUUUUUCUCAGUCUUGUGACUUUAGCAGACCUUUUUGGCUGGCCCCCAGCACAUCCCAUGGCCUGGCAGCAGGUGGUUUCUGCCUGGAGGGCUCAGCCAUCGAAAGAUUUCAAGAUGUAUAUUUUGUAAGGCAAAGCCUGUACUCAUAGACUUUGUGAAGGACCUGGUUGGGGAGACAGGAGGAAAAAUGGAUGGGAAAAAAGUAGUAAGCAGUUUUACUGUGUGAGGUAUUAGUGGGCGAGAUAACAUUGAAGCAGUGCUUGAUUAAAUGCCAAAUGAAGUUCCAAUGGUAGCUGAGAGAAGGGAGGGGAGAGACCAUUUCAGACUGGGGCCUGUGUUAGUCUGCUUGCGCUGUUGUAGCAAUGUAGCACAGACUGAGUGGUUUAAACAAAAGAUUGAUUUCCUCACCGUCCUGGAGUCUGGAUAUCCAAGGUCAAGGUGUCAGCAGGGUUAAUUUCUUCUGAGGACUCUCCUUGCUUUUAGAUGGUCACUUUCUCCCUGUGUCUUCAUGGUCUUCCCUCUCUAUUUUGUCUGUGUCUCUAAUCCCUUAUACAAACACCAGUCAGCCUGGGCACAGUGGCUCACACUUGUAAUCCCCCCACUUGGGGAGGCUGAGACAGGAGGAUCACUUGAGGUCAGGAGUUUGAGACCAGCUGGACCAGUAUGUUAAAACCCCAUCUCUACUGAAAAUACAAAAAUUAGCCAGGAGUGGUAGCUCGCUCCUGUGGUCCCAGCUACUUGGGAGGCAAAGGCAGGAGAAUUGCUUGAACCUGGGGAGGGCGAGGUUGCAGUGAGCUGAGAUCAUACCACUGCACUCCAGCCUGGGCAACAGAGCAAGACUCCAUCUCAAAAACAAAUAAGGCCGGGCGCAGUGGCUCACGCCUGUAAUCCCAACACUUUGGGAGGCCGAGGCAGGCAGAUCACUUGAGGUUAGGAGUUCGAGACCAGCCUUGCCAACACAGUGAAACCUCAUCUCUACUAAAAAAUACAAAAAUUAGCUGGGCAUGGUGGUGCACGUCUGUAGUCCCAGCUCCUUGGAAGGCUGAGGCAGGAGAAUCGCCUGAACCCAGGAGGCAGAGGUUGCAGUGAGCCGAGGUGACAUUGCAUUCCAGCCUGGGCGAUAAGAGCGAAACUCCGUCUCAAAGACCGACAAACAAAAAACACCAGUCCCUGGAUUUCUAACUGCCUCAUUUUAAUUUAGUUACUUCCGAGGCCCUUUCUCCAAAUGUAGUCACUUUUUGAGGUACUGGGGGUUAGGUCUUCAACAUAAGAAUUUGAGGGAAAUAAAACUGAGCCCAUAGCAGGGUAAUAGGAAAGGCUUUACCAAGUUAAAGCUGGGAUUGGAAAUACCCCAUUUCUGUGAUUCAAAAAUGUACCUUUGACAUUUCUGAAAUCAGUAUAUUUCUGACAUUCAGGGUACAGUUUAAAAAGGCAUACUGCCCUGGUUUUACCAUUAGUGGUUGGAAGGAUGGACAGUACAGACUUUUACUGGGAAAGAGGUCUUAGUGUUAGAUGCAUCGGCUUCUUGGAUCAGGGGCAAGAUUUUUCUCUAAGUUGCCUAUCCGAAUUGAAUCUGCCUUGCCUGAGCCUCUCCUUUCAGACUUUCUUCCCUCUCCCCAGCCAUCAGUGACCUUUCAGUCUUCAUCCCAGGUCCUCUUUCUUCCUCUGCCUCAGAGCCUAGUUAAUUGCUUCUAUUCAGUGAAAUUAGAGAGCAAGAGUCUGGGACUGGGAUUCCUUCUCAGAGAAUGCAGGAGUAGAAGGCAAACACAUCUGACUUCUUGCUUACGGCAUAGAACAUUACAGGAUGCUGUGGACUGAAUUGUGUCCCCCACGAAUUCGUAUGUUGAAACCCUAACUCCCAGUGUGACUGAAUUUGGAGUAAGAAAGUAAUUAAGGUUAAAUGAUGUCAUGCGGCGUGUGAAAACACAGCCAGAAGCUGGCCGUCUGCAUGCUACCAGGAACUGACUUGCCAGCCUCCAGGACUGUGAGAAAAUAAACUGUUGCUUAAGCCAUCGGUCUAUGGUGUUUCGUUAAAGCAGUCCAAGCUAACUAAUACACAGGGGUACGAGUCCCUCCGAAAAUUGUCGGUGUUCCUUCAGUUCUCUUUGGGUCAACUUCAGUACGAGUUCAUCCCUGGACCAAGAAUAGGUCUUAGGCCAGUCAAGCUGUACCCCUGACACUGAGGAUGGUUCCACUAAUUUGCCAUCCCCUAAUUCAGGAGGGGGAAGGAUAGAUACAUGAACAAAAUUGAGAUCCUUUUGAGAAGGAAGAGAAAGGGAAUCAGUGCUGGGCACACAUUUAGCAAUGUCCAGAUGCCCAUAUGUCGUAUGACCAUGGUAUGAUCUUAGGUGGCAUUAAUUGAAUACUAUUUAGAAGGAGGGAAAUGGCCUUUUUCUACUCCCAGCAGUUGAGACCAAACCUGUAGUAGGCACAAGGAGAGGCAGCAUAGAGGGUAGAGGCUAAGCAUGCAGGGCCCUGGAGAUUGGCUGCUUGCAUUUUAAUACUGUCUUUCACAUCCUAGCAUUGUGACUUUGAGCAGGAUACUUCUGUGUUUCCUCAUCUCCAAAAUGGAGAAUAAUAAUAGUAACCUAUCUAAUGGGAUUACUGAAGAUUCAAGUAAUACAAUUGAAAUGCUUUAAACAGAGCCUGGCACAUAAAUACUAAAUAAAAAUUGGUGUGUAUAAUUAGUCUGCUCUGGGAAACAUUCUUUCAAGAAGCAUACAGACUAAGUACAACAGAUUUAGAGAAUGUGACUGAAAAGGGAAGGGGACAAGCCAUGUCAUCUAAGUGAAGGCUGAAGGAGCCAGGGGUGUUAAGACUAGAAAUGGGAAAACAGGAUAUAAAACAUUUGACACAUCUGGAAAAGUCUCAUAUUGUUUGUUGUCUGUUAUAUGUGUUUUGUGUGACUCAGAAGUAGAUAAGACGAAUAGUCCUAGAAGGAAUGCAGAAGACAGUGAGAUGGAGUUGAGAGUGUGGUUUCACAGUCAUAAAGACUCAAGUCUGAAUUCCAGUUCUGUCACUGAUUAGUUCUGUGCCUUUGGAGGUUUUACUCAACAUUCAUGGAACCUCAGUUUGUCUGCCUGUAAAAUGGAAAUAAUGACUUCUGCUGUUUGGUUGAGCAAGGUGAUGGGGAUGGUGCAUGGUGAAGCAGAAAGGUACUACCAGAUGAGUUUACUGGCUGCGAUCUGGCCCUCAACUUUGCAGAUCUAAACUUUUGUAAUUACCCAGAGAUGAGCUUGGUGGCAGACCGACACUAAUACCUCUUUCAGGGUUGUAGUGGGCUGAAUAGUUAGUGGCCCUCAAAAGAUAUGUCAGCAUCCUAACCCACUCAACUGGUGAAUGUAACCUUAUUUGGAAAAAGGAUCUUUAUAGAUGUAAUUAAGGAACUUGAGAUGAGAUGAUCCUGGAUUUUCCAGGUGGACAUUAAAUGCAGGGACAGGUGUUCUUAAGGGAGGAGGAGCAGGCAGCCAUGGGAAGACAGCAAGAGAAUGGAGGUAUGCAGCCAUAAGCCGAGGAACACGUGGAGUCACCAGACACUGGAAGAAGCGAGGAAAGAUUCUCCCUAGAGCCUUUGGAGGGAGCGUGGCCCUGCUGGAUUUUCAACUUUAGCCUCCAGAGCUGUGAGAGAAUAAAUUUCUCUUGUUUUAAGCCACCAAGUUUGUGGUAAUUUGUUAGAGCAGCCUCAGUAGCCACUAAAUAAAGUCCAGUUAAUUAGGGAAAUCUAUCUGGCUUAACUAAUGAUAAAAACAAAUUUAAGAAAAUAAUUCCUUUGGGAGGCCAAGGCAGCAGGAUUGCUUGAGGCUAGGCGUUUGAGACCAGCUUAGGCAACUAAGCAAAACCCCAUCUCUGCAAAAAUUAAAAAAAAUAGCUGCACAUGGUAGCACAUGCCUGUAGUCCUAGCUGCUAGGGAGGCUAAGGUGGGAAGAUUGUCUGAGCCCAGGAGUUGGAGGCUGCAGAGAGCUAUGAUCGCACCAUUGACUCCAGCUUGGGCAAUAGGGCGAGACUCUGUUGCUCAAAAAAAAAAAAAUAGCCAUCAGAAGAAGGUGUUGUUAAUAAAAACCAGAUAAACUGGGUUUGGAAAAGAAUAUUUUGCCAUAUGAAUCCAUCCCUGUCCAGGUGAAAGAGAUGAGGAAUCUAGAGACGAAAGAUUUUGGUUACUACUGAAGUGUUCUGUUCAGUGGGUCAUGGACGUUUCAUUAUUAGGCUGCUUCCUGGUCUGAGUGAAAUCUCUUCAUGACGAUUCCUUUCUUUGCUGCAGUUCAGCAUUUAUCAAAAAAUAGCCAAUGGAAUGCCAGUGCUGAGAAAUGCUCUGAAGUAAAAGUAUUCCAUGGUUAAAUAGGCUCGGGGUGUCGUAUCUCCCCAGUCUUGGAGCUUCACAAGCACAUCAUCAUAGGAGCCAAGAAGUUAUGACAUAAAGCUGUUUAAACUAUUCAAUAUUUUCACAAAUGUAUUUGAACCCAGGACCUUUGUAUAGCAAAAUAAUACCACAUUAGAAACAUUAAUAAUUACAUUUCCCAAGUAUCCUGAUAUGGGGAAAGAGAAUGCCCUGGUUAAGAAAUUCAAGACAAUAUAAGCUGAGUGCGGUGGCUCACGCCUGUAAUCCCAGCAGUUUGGGAGGCCAAGACGGGCAGAUCACCUGAGGUCAGGAGUUCGAGACCAGCCUGGCCAAAAUGGUGAAACCCCAUCUCUACUAAAAAUACAAAAAUUAGCUGGGCGCCUAUAAUCCCAGCUACUUGGGAGGCUGAAGCAGGAGAAUCACUUGAACCCAGGAGGUGGAGGUUGCAGUGAGCUGAGAUCGCGCCAGUGCAUUGCAGCUUAGGCAACAGAGCAAGGCUUCGUCCCCCUCAAAAAAAAGCCAAACUAAUAAGAUUCAAAAUGAUAAAAUAAUAAAUCGGUGUUUUUUUAUACUUUGCCCUGUAGUAGUUUCCUUGCCUCUUCCAGCUUCUGGUGGCUGCCCCAGCAUUCCUGAGCGUGUGUCUGCGAAACUCCAGUCUCUGCCCCCACCUUCACAUCAUCUUCUCCAUGUCUCCUUACCUUCCUUUGCCUCUGUCUUGAAAAGACACUGUGAUGGCAUUUAGGACCCACCCAGCUAAUUCAGUGUGUUCUCAUCUCCAGAUCCUUGAUCAAGUCACAUUUGCAGAGACCUCUUUUUCAAAUAAGAGACGAGGUCUCACUAUGUUGGCCAGGUUGGUCUCGAAUUCCUGGCCGCAAGCCGUUCUCCAGUCUGGGCCUCCCAAAGCGCUAGGAUUACAGGAACAGAAUUGCCAUUGGGCCCAGGGAGAGACUACACUUCUUGUCUGCUUUGUUGCUAGUGCGGCCUUGUGGCCAAGCACAGAACGUGUGCAGUGAUGAUGGUGCAACUUCUAGGUUGUCCCCAGCAUGGAAGAUGAGCCCUGGGCAUGGAAGAUGAGCCCUGGUCCUGCAGCGGUGCUCUUUCCUCUUCUCACAAGCUGGAAUGUGCAUGUGCUCCCACCCAGCUUUGACCAUGGGGAGAAGACAGUGCUCUGCAGUCUGGCAGAGCAACCAGGUGGAAAGGGCCUGGAUCCUUGAGUGACGUCAUGAGCCCUCUCACUGUCCCGGACUUUGGGACUGUUAUAUGAUAAGGACUUUCUGUGAGUCACUGUCUUUUAGAGUCUCUCUGUUUUAGCUGCCUGGACUUUAUCCUGAAUGAUAUGGCUGUUAUCAAGGGUAUAGUGUUACUAUGAGCCUCAUCUAAGUAAUUUCUACUCUGCCUUUGACCACUAAACUCAUGUUGGACAAGAGUCACUUAGCAUUAUUUUUUCCUCAAUGAAGAGGUUGAGAUGGAGGGAGCAGGAGAAAUUGAGGCCUGUGUUUUACCAGAAGGUGAAGGGCUGUCUUUGCCUUUCCUACAUUCAUGAAGGAUAAUUCUAGACAAAAACAUUAAGUUCAUAUCAAACCAUCUGCUUUGUGAAGCCAUGGGCUUUGCUAGAACUUUCUGUGACAUGACAUUUAUUAACCCGAGUCUACCUGGAAGUUAGAGCUGAGAAAGUUUUCCUACAGUGGAAAAAGUCCAAUGCACUUGUAAAAGUCAGACCAAGCUCAGCUCAGAUUUCAGUUUUAUUAGAGGUAUGUCACCUUCCUGAUCCCUUAUUACUUCCCCAUCUGUGAAAUGAGGACACCGUUCUCUCUGUCUAAGCAUUGCUGGGAAGACCACACACCACUGAGACAGAAGGUGGGGCUAGCGCAGUUCUGGGCAUUUUGUACACCCCCAACAAACACUGAUUUAUUUCCUUCUUUUUCCUUGCUCAGAAAAAAUUGGAGAAGCCUUUAUUUUAAAAUUCUGCCUGAAUUACUUUAUUUUAUUUAUUUAUUUAUUUAUUUUUUAGAGACAGAGUCUUGCUCUGUCACCCAGGCUGGAGUGCAGUGGUGCGAUCUCAGCUCACUGCAACCUCCUCCUGCUGGGUUCAAACGAUUCUCCUGCCUCAGCCUCCUGAGUAGCUGGGAUUACGGGCGCCCACCACCAUGCCCGGCUAAUUUCUGUAUUUUUAGUAGAGACGGGGUUUCGCCACACUGGCCAGGCUGGUCUCGAACUCCUGAUCUCAUGUGAUCCGCCCACCUCAGCCUCCCAAAUUGCUGGGAUUACAGGCAUGAGCCACCAUGCCCAGCCCUUGAAUUACUUUAGAUCCUACUUUUUAAGAAAAUAUUUGGCCGGGCAUGGUGGCACACACCUGUAAUCGCAGCACUUUGGGGGCCUGAGGUGGGUGGAUCACUUGAGUCUAAGAGUUCGAGACCAGCCUGGCCAACAUGGCGAAACCCUAUCUCUACUAAAAAUAUAAAAAUUAGCCGGGCAUGGUGGUGGGCGCCUGUAAUCCCAGCUACUUGGGAGGCUGAGGCAGGGAGAAUCACUUGAACCUGGGGGGGCAGAGGUUGCAGUGAGCCAAGAUAGUGCCACUGUACUACAGCCUGGGCGACACAGCAAGACUUUGUCUCAAAAAAAAAAAAAAAAGAAAGAAAAUAUUUGACGUUCUUUUUAAAAUGUAUAUGGUUUACAAAUAAAGUUUACAAAUGCUUUUACACUC